GACGAACGCUGGCGGCGUGCCUAAUACAUGCAAGUCGAACGAGAGCGACCGGUGCUUGCACUGGUCAAUCUAGUGGCGAACGGGUGAGUAACACGUGGGUAACCUGCCCAUCAGAGGGGGAUAACAUCCGGAAACGGAUGCUAAAACCGCAUAGGUCUUCGAGCCGCAUGGCUUGAAGAGGAAAAGAGGCGCAAGCUUCUGCUGAUGGAUGGACCCGCGGUGCAUUAGCUAGUUGGUGAGGUAACGGCUCACCAAGGCCGUGAUGCAUAGCCGACCUGAGAGGGUGAUCGGCCACAUUGGGACUGAGACACGGCCCAAACUCCUACGGGAGGCAGAAGUAGGGAAUCUUCCGCAAUGGACGCAAGUCUGACGGAGCAACGCCGCGGGAGUGAAGAAGGUUUUCGGAUCGUAAAACGCUGUUGUAGAGAAGAACAAGUGCUAGAGUAACUGUUAGCGCCUUGACGGUAUCUAACCAGAAAGCCACGGCUAACUACGUG
rnacentral:rRNA from 1 species